GUAUGAAUCGCUUUCCCCGCCCCCCCGUACAGCCUUAGACGCCUACACUGUACACACACGCUCCCCACCCACCCUCCGCACCCCCUCCCCUUCCACGCCUCUCAGCCCCUCCAAACGACUCUGCUAAUAAAAUCCAAGCAACUUCUCCCGAAAACUUCCACAGUCCGGGAAGUGGCUCGCCGGGAUCUGUACCCGUAAGCUGCAAGAUUUACAUAAGCCAAGCCCCAUUCCUGACCUCUAAGGCGGCUCCUCUCCUCCAACCCCCGCCCUGUCCCCGCCCUGCCGAGAUGACCAAUGGGCGGGCCGGCUGCUGAAGGGGAAGUGACGUCACCAUGGCCGCCCACUUCGGGAGCCCACCAAGCCGAGAAUACAAGAAAUGAAGAUUCUGAAAAAGAAGCUGAUGACCAAGAUAAGGGAUAGAAAGAUGACUUGUUUGCUUGAAGAGAGAUACCAAUUACUUUAGGAACUAAGAAGAGAUAUCGCCAAUUUGGAAGAAACCACAUUAUAAAAUGUACCUUUUCCAUUUGAUGAAAAUAAAUCUGCAGCAGCAAGUCAAGUUAAAGCCCAAACAGAACACUGGAGGGAUCCUUUCCUGAGAAUCAACCUUACAGCCAACAACUACUCUCCACACGCCAAGACACAGAUCUGAUGGAAGAAAUCCCAGUUAUCAGCCUCCAAGGGUGAUUCAUUGAUAAGGAGACCAAUGCUUUGAUGGACACACAGUUUGGAGAGACCUUAACUCUUGCUCGUCUCAAUGUUCAUCCUCCACACACCAGCAUCAGGAGCAACUGGAAGAAGGCAACAUGUCAACCUGGUCAUUCUUUGCCACUAGAUGGACUGUACUAGGAUCUGAGGGCAUUAACUAUGCAGUGUUCUUGCUGAAACUGUUUAGCCUGAGUUUCAUCAUGAGGUAGUUAUCAGAUGACUGCAGAAUUUAGGCCAUUGAACAAGACAAGUGGCCUGUCUUUCUUCAAACAGUCAACAUCUCCACAAAUAAGACAACAAAAAGGAGAAUAGGUGUUUUGGAUUCCCAAGGACUAAAAAGAUUGUGUCAGUAUAUUUCUUUAGUCCUUUGGAACCCAAAACCUCUCCUCAGCUUUCUGUGGUUGUCUUCAAUGGUGGUGACAUUGACUUGCUUGCAGAGGACAGGUCAGUUGUCUGGCUCAAGGGUCUACAUUUUGCAGUUGUCUGAUCAUUUCCUCAAGGGUUCAGUUGAACCCUUUUUGCCAAGAACACCACUUACUGCAUGCUGUGUGCUUCCAAGCACAGCCCCUUUGGAGACUAAGAGUGUCCACUUUGCCUGUCACCACUACUGUCAUUUUAGCAUUGGACACUUUGUUAUGCAGGGGCCAUGAGAUCCGUUCACUGGAAAGACAGGUUUUCUGUCUAUAAUCAGUAACUUGAUUAGCGGUACUUUGAGAGUUUAUGAAUAUCUUGUUCCAUGAUGCUCGUUCUCUAAAUAUUUUACCAUCCCUUAUUGUUCCCUCAUGUAUGUCAAUUAUCAUACUUGUGUUUGUACCCUGGACAUUUUCUAAUUCAAUCAUUCUGUAAACUUGUAUUCCUGGCCUUGUGCUGUGGGAAAGACAAUCCAUACCCCUUCCAUAUCAUUAAAAGUGUUUUUGAGUUUCA